rnacentral:rRNA from 1 species
GACGAACGCUGGCGGCGUGCUUAACACAUGCAAGUCGAACGGAAAGGCCCUGCUUUUGUGGGGUGCUCGAUUGGCGAACGGGUGAGUAACACGUGAGUAACCUGCCCUUGACUUUGGGAUAACUUCAGGAAACUGGGGCUAAUACCGGAUAGGAGCUCCUGCUGCACGGUGGUGGUUGGAAAGUUUCGGCGGUUGGGGAUGGACUCGCGGCUUAUCAGCUUGUUGGUGGGGUAGUGGCUUACCAAGGCUUUGACGGGUAGCCGGCCUGAGAGGGUGACCGGCCACAUUGGGACUGAGAUACGGACCAGACUCCUACGGGAGGCAGCGGUGGGGAAUAUUGCACAAUGGGCGGAAGCCUGAUGCGGAAGCGCCGCGUGCGGGAUAACGGCCUUCGAGUUGUAAACCGCUUUGGCCUGUGACGAAGCGUGAGUGACGGUAAUGGAUAAAGAAGCACCGGCUAACUACGUG